GAAGCCCUGGCCAGCCAUCAUUUGACAUCGAGAUCUUCCUGUGAAAGGGUGUGCAAAACCUACGAAGAAAUGUCAAAAGAGACACUGGACAUGAGUUAUGAUGAUUUUUUAAUAACAAAACACUUGUAAACCCCCCAAAAAAGCAAAGCCAAUUUCAUAAACCUGCAACUUUUAUGAAGUGGCAAUUCAAGCCACUCUGCUCCUACUCACCUGCCUGGAAAUGGAGCCACUCUUUUCUCGCCCAGCCUUCCGACACAGGUCAGACAAGAACAGUGGUGUGCAGUGGGUCCCAGAGGCCUUCUGUCGAGGGCAGCUGAGUCAGAGCAGGUGGAAUGAAGGACACAAUAUUGUGAUUAGGCAUUAUGUAAUACCUAAAGGUUCCAAUGAAGUGACACAUGCUGACUUCCCAGUCCUUUGCAAGACAAGGAAAAAGAAUUAAGAUGACUGUUUAAACUGUGAAAGGUGCACAUUUAACAAUGGAAAAUGAAUUGUUGGUUGUAUAUAGUUGUCUAACUUGAAACACGAACAUGUGUGCUUGGCCCUUGCUGGUGCUCUGAUGAAUUUUCAAUCUGAACUGUGCAAACAGUGCUCUGUUAAUAUUCCCAAUGGGAGCUGUACAUUGGGAAAUACAUGUUUAGAUUGAAAAUAAAAUACACAAGCUGUGCUCCCUCAUAGUUUUUACUAGAAUUCAUCCUUAUAUAAAUUCUAUUUUCAGCUUGCUGUUGCUUAUCAAGGUUGGAGAUGGAAGUGCUGGGAAAUGACAGAUUUUUUCAAACAUUUUGGCACUCAGUGCCAGUACUCCCAGGUGACAUAAUAUUGGCCGGAUACAAGGCAAACCUCCUUUAACUCAGUCCAGAUUAUGUACCUUAACCCUAACCUCAGAACCCUAACCCACUUUAUCAGUGCCAAUCUUUUCACUCCCUACACCAGUCAUCACCAUCACUUCUCUGAGAGAUAGCUACAGAAUAAAUUUCAGUUGGGAGGGAGGAAGGAAAUGCUGGGUGGGGCAAUGAGUUAAUAGGUUUUCUCUUCCUUUCCAGAAUGCAGGUUUGAAUCCAGUCCAGAUUGAAGGGAGAAACAUUAGUUUGGGCAGCCUCAACCCAGUUUCCAGUGAAUAAAGGCGCACACUGCAUGGCUGUCUAAAUUAUCAGAUGUGAGGCAAUGAAAGAUAUAAGGCCUUUCCUGUAUUGUCCAAUUGUGAACUGUCAUGUAUGUAGCCACCUUGUUCUCCAGCAACAAGCACAAAAUAAAC